AACGAACGCUGGCGGCGCGCUUAACACAUGCAAGUCGAACGAGAAGGCGUAGCAAUACGCUUGUACAGUGGCGAACGGGUGAGUAAUACGUGGGCGACCUACCCUCGAGUGGGGAAUAACCCGCCGAAAGGCGGGCUAAUGCCGCGUACGCUUCCAUCUUUAUGGAGGUGGAAGGAAAGCCGUGCCGUGGGCACGGCGCUCAAGGAUGGGCUCACGUCCUAUCAGCUUGUUGGAGGGUAACGGCCUACCAAGGCUCCGACGGUAGCUGGUCUGAGAGGACGAUCAGCCACACUGGCACUGCGACACGGGCCAGACUCCUACGGGAGGCAGCAGUGAGGAAUAUUGCGCAAAUGGGCGAAAGCCUGACGCAGCGACGCCGCGUGGGGGAUGAAGGUCUUCGGAUUGUAAACCCCUUUCGGGUAGGGAAGAUGGGACGGGCAACCGUUCGGACGGUACCUCCAGAAGCAGCCACGGCUAAC
rnacentral:rRNA from 1 species